rnacentral:snoRNA from 1 species
UUUUGGAAUUGGAGGGAUGUUCCCAGGCCAGAGUAAACUGUGGCCCUGAACCUGGCCUGGCUACUGUACCUGUAGGCUGCUGCCACUGAAGCAGGUUGCACAGUG